ACCCUUAUACUUUGGUAUUAAUUAUGUACUAUGUGUGACAUGUGAGUGGGCACAUAAUGUCUUAGCCAAAUUCCUACAACAAGUUAGAGAAUCAUUUUAGAACUUCAAAUAGCAAGUAGAAAGAAAAUCACUCUUUAAAUUCUAGAAAGUCUUGUUGAAGCUGUCAAGCUGGCUUUUGGCCUUAAGUUUGUGUUGUUAACACCAUUUGUGGUGAAAUUAAAACUGAAUAAGUAUGUCAGUAUUAUCCGAUUCCAAGUGAACCUGUGUAUCCAAAGAAGAAAAGGCUUGAACUAUAAAUGCUGAGGAGGUUAAAGGUUCAUUCCCACCCCUUUUUGCAAAUGCUUAUUAGAAAACAUCGAAGGACUUUUCUUAAUAUGCAAGUACCAGUUUGAACUGGGAAAUAAAUAGCCUAACAAGAUAAGGACAAAAGAUUUCAUAACAACUGUUUCUCUGCCAUCACUAUCAUGGAUUCGGAAUUCUUCAGAAACUGGCACCCAUUUGAUACUGAGGCCAUAACAAAUAGUAUCCAUCACACUCCAACCAUAAUUCAUCUUAUAGCAGUAUUC